UCCGGCUUGUCGCCGGCGGUCCCUCUAGAGUGCCCAACUGAAUGAUGGCAACUAAAGGCGAGGGUUGCGCUCGUUGCGGGACUUAACCCAACAUCUCACGACACGAGCUGACGACAGCCAUGCAGCACCUGUCUCUGCGUCCCUUGCGGGAAAACCCCUAUUAGAGGGCGGUCGCAGGAUGUCAAACCCUGGUAAGGUGGGGAUGACGUAGCUAAGCCUUC
rnacentral:misc_RNA from 1 species